GAGGUUGUAGCUCAGUGGUAGAGCACUUGCCUAGCAUGUGAGGGGCACUGGGUUCGAUCCCCAGCAUCCCG
rfam:Ictidomys tridecemlineatus contig088772, whole genome shotgun sequence.